rnacentral:rRNA from 1 species
AGUGAACGCUGGCGGUAGGCCUAACACAUGCAAGUCGAACGGCAGCACAGAGGAGCUUGCUCCUUGGGUGGCGAGUGGCGGACGGGUGAGGAAUACAUCGGAAUCUACUCUGUCGUGGGGGAUAACGUAGGGAAACUUACGCUAAUACCGCAUACGACCUACGGGUGAAAGCAGGGGACCUUCGGGCCUUGCGCGAUUGAAUGAGCCGAUGUCGGAUUAGCUAGUUGGCGGGGUAAAGGCCCACCAAGGCGACGAUCCGUAGCUGGUCUGAGAGGAUGCUCAGCCACACUGGAACUGAGACACGGUCCAGACUCGUACGGGAGUCAGCAGUGGGGAAUAUUGGACAAUGGGCGCAAGCCUGAUCCAGCCAUACCGCGUGGGUGAAGAAGGCCUUCGGGUUGUAAAGCCCUUUUGUUGGGAAAGAAAUCCAGCUGGCUAAUACCCGGUUGGGAUGACGGUACCCAAAGAAUAAGCACCGGCUAACUUCGUGCCAGCCGCCGCCGUAA